GGAAGUGUGCCCGAGCACAGGGGCUAUUUUGAUGAAAUAGACACAGAAGCAUAUCAAACCUCUCACUUCCAA
rnacentral:tRNA from 1 species